rnacentral:rRNA from 1 species
GACGAACGCUGGCGGCGUGCUUAACACAUGCAAGUCGUACGGUAAGGCCCUUUCGGGGGUACACGAGUGGCGAACGGGUGCGUAACACGUGAGUAACCUGCCCACAACUUUGGGAUAACGCUAGGAAACUGGUGCUAAUACUGGAUAUGUGCUCCUGCUGCAUGGUGGGGGUUGGAAAGCUCCGGCGGUUGUGGAUGGAUUCGCGGCCUAUCAGCUUGUUGGUGGGGUAGUGGCCUACCAAGGCGGCGACGGGUAGCCGGCCUGUGAGGGUGACCGGCCACAUUGGGACUGAGAGACGGCCCAGACUCCUACGGGAGGCAGAAGGGGGGAAUAUUGCACGAUGGGCGCAAGCCUGAUGCAGAAACGCCGCGUGCGGGAUGACGGCCUUCGGGUUGUAAACCGCAUUCAGCAGGGACGAAGCUUUUUGUGACGGUACCUGCAGAAGAAGCACCGGCUAACUACGUG